GGGGAUAUAGCUCAGCUGGGAGAGCGCUUGAAUGGCAUUCAAGAGGCCGUGGGUUCGAGUCCCAUUAUCUCCA
rnacentral:tRNA from 6 species